rnacentral:rRNA from 1 species
CCUACGGGAGGCAGCAGUGAGGAAUAUUGGUCAAUGGACGGAAGUCUGAACCAGCCAUGCCGCGUGCAGGAAGACGGCUCUAUGAGUUGUAAACUGCUUUUGUACAAGGGUAAACCUGAAUACGUGUAUUCAGCUGAAAGUACUGUACGUAUAAGGAUCGGCGAACUCCGGGCCAGCAGCCGCGGUAAUACGGAGGAACCAAGCGUUCGCCGGAUUUAUUGGGGUUAAAGGGUGCGUAGGCGGAUUGAUAAGUUAGAGGUGAAAUGUCCGGGCUUAACUCGUGGACUGCCUCGUAUACGGUUGAUCUAGAGAGUAGGUGCGGUAGGCGGAAUGUAUGGUGUAGCGGUGAAAUGCUGAGAGAUCAUGAAGAACACCGAUUGCGAAGGCAGCUUACCAAUCUAUAUCUGACGUUGAGGCACGAAAGCGUGGGGAGCAAACAGGAUUAGAUACCCCAGUAGUC